UUCAGUCGGACACUUACCUGUGCACAGCAUUUUCGGUGCCAACUAGUCAAGAUGCCUAUAUUGUGGACUUCAGACCUCAUGCCAGUAUGGACACAGUUCAUCACAUGCUUCUGUUUGGCUGCCUGACUCCCGUGUCCACCAGCAGUUACUGGGACUGUGGAAGUGUACAAGGCACCUGUGAGGAUGAGGCAUCCAUUAUGUACGCCUGGGCGCGGAAUGCACCACCUACUAAAUUACCCAAAGGUAUGUUU